AUUGAACGCUGGCGGCAGGCUUAACACAUGCAAGUCGAGCGGGGUGAUGGUGCUUGCACUAUCACUUAGCGGCGGACGGGUGAGUAAUGCUUAGGAAUCUGCCUACUAGUGGGGGACAACAUCUCGAAAGGGAUGCUAAUACCGCAUACAUCCUACGGGAGAAAGCAGGGGAUCACUUGUGACCUUGCGCUAAUAGAUGAGCCUAAGUCGGAUUAGCUAGUUGGUGGGGUAAAGGCCUACCAAGGCGACGAUCUGUAGCGGGUCUGAGAGGAUGAUCCGCCACACUGGGACUGAGACACGGCCCAGACUCCUACGGGAGGCAGCAGUGGGGAAUAUUGGACAAUGGGGGGAACCCUGAUCCAGCCAUGCCGCGUGUGUGAAGAAGGCCUUAUGGUUGUAAAGCACUUUAAGCGAGGAGGAGGCUCUUUUGGUUAAUACCCAAGAUGAGUAGACGUUACUCGCAGAAUAAGCGCCGGCUAACUCUGUGCCAGCCGCCGCCGUAA
rnacentral:rRNA from 1 species